rnacentral:rRNA from 1 species
UACGGUAGGGUGCGAGCAUUGUCCGGAAUUAUUGGGCGUAAAGAGCUCGUAGGCGGCCUGUUCGCGUCGGAUGUGAAAGCCCCGGGGCUUAACCCCGGGUCUGCAUUCGAUACGGGCAGGCUGGAGUUCGGUAGGGGAGAUCGGAAUUCCUGGUGUAGCGGUGAAAUGCGCAGAUAUCAGGAGGAACGACCGGUGGCGAAGGCGGACUCGUGGCCGAUGACUGACGCUGAGGAGCGAAAGCGUGGGAGCGAACAGG